CCUACGGGAGGCAGCAGUGGGGAAUAUUGCACAAUGGGGGGAAACCCUGAUGCAGCGACGCCGCGUGGAGGAAGAAGGUCUUUCGGAUUGUAAACUCCUGUUGUUUGAGGAAGAUAAUGACGGUACUCAACAAGGAAGUGACGGCUAACUACGUGCCAGC
rnacentral:rRNA from 1 species